rnacentral:rRNA from 1 species
AUUUAACGCUAGCGGGAUGCUUUACACAUGCAAGUCGAACGAGUGGCGGACGGGUGAGUAAUAUAUCGGAACGUGCCCAGUAGCGGGGGAUAACUACUCGAAAGAGUGGCUAAUACCGCAUACUAUUGGAGCGGCCGAUAUCGGCUUAGCUAGUUGGUGGUGUAAAGGCUCACCAAGGCAACGAUCCGUAGAUGGUUUGAGAGGACGACCAGCAACAAUGGGACGGAGACACGGCCCAGAAUCCUACGGGAGGCAGCAGGGGGGAAUGUUGGAAAAGGGGGGAAACCCUGAUCCAGCCAUCCCGCGUGUAUGAGAAGGCCUUCGGGUUGUAAAGUACUUUUGGCAGAGAAGCGGUAUCGGCAGAAUAAGCACCGGCUAACUACGUGCCAGCCGCCGCGGUAAUUC